UACGGAGGGGGCAAGCGUUGUUCGGAAUUACUGGGCGUAAAGGGUGCGCAGGCGGCGUCGCCAGUCAGGUGUGAAAUCCCCGGGCUCAACCCGGGAACUGCACUUGAUACUGCGAUGCUAGAGUUCGGAAGAGGGUAGUGGAAUUCCCAGUGUAGAGGUGAAAUUCGUAGAUAUUGGGAAGAACACCAGUGGCGAAGGCGGCUACCUGGUCCGAUACUGACGCUGAGGCACGAAAGCGUGGGGAGCAAACAGG
rnacentral:rRNA from 1 species